CCGUGUCACCCUUGGGCGUUCUUGCUCAUUUUAAUUGUUAACCUAAUGUAAAGGUUCAUCAGCACACAUUAGUAGUGUUUGCACAUGUGAGAACUCAGUUUACUGAGUAAAUACUCCCCUGCUGGCCUCCUCUUCUCUCUUCAGGUCGCUGCUCCCUUGCUGCCACGUCUUCUUCAUGUACCAAGGCCUGUCCCAACAGAGGCCAAAGGGGUUUGUCUUUUCUGAAAACUCACCUCUGCCCCUUCUUCUGUAGCCACACUAGAGGCUGCUCCGUGGGCCAUACAAAGGUGACUCUGGCCAUAAAGAGCAGAAAGUACAAGCCUACCUGUGGGCUGGCUUCCCCAGCUUUUCUGUGUAAGCGUGGCCCUUUGCAAGGCAGACUUGGCCCUGGGAUGUGAGGUGCAGCAUCCUGGAUGGGGUGGAUGGAGAUGCUGUUCUCCUCUGGUGUCAGUUUGUGACAUGUCCCAUCAACUCUGCAAGAUCCAGCUGAGCCUUCAAUUUGAACCAGUGACCGUCUGGAGACAGAACAGGGGCAAGAACAGACUGUGCUGGGAGAGAGUGAACCUAAAGUUCAGAUUUGUUCCUUGAAGCAAAAGUAAAGGACAAACCCCCAUAGCGAGCGCCGAGCCUGUACCUCUCCUUACAGCCAGUUCAUGAGCAGCCACUGGGAGCCAAGUGGGUUUCUUCCACCAGUAUUAACUAUAUAUCUAGUUAAGUACGUUGAUGACAUUUUCUUUCUGAAAAUCAUUAUGAAGUAGUGUUCAAAGUCAGCGCAGCUCAGCAGUAAAACCUCACUCGAAUGCUUGAAGACAAUUGGUUUUGCUUUUUUUGGUACAAACAUUUUGUAAGCUUCUUUUGUUGGGCUAUGUUUAUAUUCCUCUACCUCACAGAUUGGCCCCUUGUGCCAUACAAAGCCCCUUAAAUACUUUAAGUCAUUAUCACACAUUGGCCUUCCAUAGCCAAGUAUACACAGGUGAUGUGUUUAUACUGAGGGUCGCCUCAAGAUCUCCUGAUGAUGCCAAGGGCAGGCUUGAGCCCAGCCUCCUAGGCUGCUAGAGCGGAUGGUCCCCACGCUGACCCCUGUGCAUGGACUCUGCUCUCCAGACUCUCCUCUCUGGCAAGGCGUCGCUGGCUUUGGGGCAGCUGACUGCAGGUUACGGUCCCUCAGCCUCUGCUCCACUAGUUCAUUUCAUGACCCACCGAGAGCCCAGACUGUGGACACUGUCUUACCAAGCGCUGUGCGCAUAGCCUUCCUGGGCCUCCGCUGCCAGCACUAGCCCUGCCUGAAGGACACUUUGUGAAACGUUGGCUUCAGAUGUUCGGGAACUGGCAGUGAUUCGCGGGGAUCAGCUGACAGCAGCCGACCUGGUGCCUAUCUUCAGUGGCUUCUUGAAGGAUCUGGUCAAAGACAAGAGGAGAGUGCACCUCUGCCAGCUGCCGAGGUUGGUGGUGACUGACAGCAGCCCGAACUAGGGGUUUCCAUAUGGACUAGCAGAGUUACAGCUAGUCAUCUCACAAAUAAUUGUCUUCCUGAAGAAAUCCAUCAGGCUUUUGCAGCUACGUAGGAUAUGAUUUGGCCGGUGCCGGGGGCAAACUGGAAGAUUUUCUCUUUGCUGUGAGCUUUAAUCAUUAUCCUUAAUUUGAGAGGUUGAAGUUUAGUCAUUAUGUCAUGUUCGCAGCACACUCCUGCAAAAAGAACUGAGAAAAACAAGCCUGUGCCCGGCGCGGCGACCCUGCGCCCCCUGGCGGCGGGUGCUGGGCGAGCCCCCGGCGUCCCGGGCCCUAUCUCCCAUCGCUUGGCUUAUUGCAGUGGCCGGUUGCGAUAACGGCUGCGCCCGGCGCGAUAUUGGCCUCAUUUUCCCCCCGCAGACGGCGGGAGCGAUAUGAAGCCGUUCGCCGCGGCCCGCUUCCUCCCCGCCCUUUUUCAUUUCCUCUGCCCGCGUGCAAAUCACACCACUCUCUCUCACCCGAGCCGAGCAGGGCCGCAGCAAGCGAGACAGAAAGAAUGAGGGGGAAACACCUAGCGAAAAACCGAAGGGAAAAAAAAGAGCGAGGGAAAAGACCUAGCGAGAAAAAGAGAGGGGGUUAAAAGACCUGCCGAGAAAGGGCGAGAGGGAAAGACCUAGCGAAAACCCGAGGGGAAAAAAGAAUGAGGGAAAAGACCUAGCGAGGAAAAGCGACGGGUAGAUGUAGCGAAAAACCGAGGGGGGAAAAGAGCGAGGAAAAAGAUCUAGCGAGGAACGGCGAGGAGGAAAGACCUAGGGAGAAAGAGCGAGGGGAAAAAAAAAACCUAACGAGGAGGAGCGAGAGGAAAAGACCUGCCGAGAAAGAGCGAGGAAAGAAAACCUAGCGAGCAGGAGCGAAGGAAAAAGACCUGCGGGAAAAGAUCAAAGCGGGAAAAAUUAGCGAGCAGGAGCGAGGGAAAAAGACCUGCCGAGAAAGAUCGAGGGAGAAAAACAAAAAAAACAAAAAACAGCGAGCAGAAGCGAGGAGGAAAAACCUGCCGAGAAAGAUCGAGAGGAAAAAAACAAAACAACACAAACCUAGCGAGCAGGAGCGAGGAGGAAAAACCUGCGGAGAAGGAGCGAGGGGAAAAGGGCGGCCGAGUCAGACGGCUAAGUGGGGAAAGCGCGCGAGGAAGUGGUGUGAAAAAAGGAUAAAGAUUGAGAAAGAGCGGGCGAAAAAGCUAGGGGAAAGCGGUCUAGAAAGAAGAACCACGGGGCAAGAGCGAUGUUGAAAAUGAAGGAAGGAGUGAGAAGAAAAAAAAAAAAAAACGGAGGAGAAAGAACAAGGGAGAAACGGCGAGAAAAAGAGCGCGGGCGCCGCCAUCCGCCGCUCGGCUCCUCGCUCCGGCUCGCCAAGGCGACCGGGCAACUGCUGCAGCCCGUAGCUGCUUUUAAGUGGUCUGGUGUAGGGCAGACUUUGUGUGUGUUUAAACCAUAACCGGACCUGGGAGCCUCAAACCCUGAACGCACGAACCCCUAUUUUACAAAGCGCUUGGGUGCACAGUACACGGCGGCUUCGGCACGCCCGCUGCUCCCGCUACCGCUGCGCCCGCGCGCGGCCCACUUGGAAAGGAGCAAGAAUCCAUUAAAUGUGGUAGGGGUCCCCCUGCUUGUUCUUAUAGGCAACACAGCUGCUCCUGAUCUUGGAUCUGUAGACUUCAGCGACGUUAGCGGUUGCCUGAAACACGUUGCCCUGAAGUUGUGCACAAAGUUUUUCGAGUGCGCUGCAUUUCAUUCAAUCUAGUAAGGAGCCGCUGGCCUUGCCCGUAGCACAUUCUUGUAAAUAGCUCUCUUUCUGUUUCCGUCUUAACUCCAUUAUUUUUUUUUCUGGGUUCUAUUUGUCAUUUUCUCUAUAAGCCCAGCUUUUAAUUUUUGCAGUUAGAAGCUAUAUUGUUUCAUAAAUUUUCAGGAUAGCCUAUUAAUUUUAUGCUUCCAUAAUGGGAACUGUGCAGAAAUAAUUUUGUAUAUGAAACUCUUUAAAUAAUAAUGUAGGUUUUUUGUUUGUUUGUGCAUGUGUAUGUUUGUUGUUGAAUUCUCCACAGCUUUGUAGAACAGUUCAUGAUGAGCAAAGCCUCGGGCAGAAGAGGCAAUCCUGGUCUUUAUGGACGUCUCCCAGCCCUAGAGAAAAACACAGUCUUACUUGAAAAUAGUGAUUUUUAAGAUUUCUUGAUGAUAAUGAAAUUUUAUAAAAAUGCCAUGCCCUCAAAGGUAACAGUGUACUCAUUUUGAAGGGUGAUGGUUUUAAAACUGGGCCCCUCAUGCUGGAUGUAUUUGUCUAAUGUUACUACCCUGAUUUUUCCAUUUCCCUUGGAGAGUGUUAUGUGCAUGUAUAUAUUAUUAAGACCUAUUUAAAAUCUUCUCUACGUGAGCUAGUGAGAACUGAAGGAGAUGCUUUCUCUUGCUUGUCAAUUGAUUGUGAGGGUGGACAUGAGGAUGCCCUUGUGCUGUAGAGAGCGAGUGCUGCUUGUAAUUACCUCAGCUGGCACUGCAGCCGGCAUCUAGCCGGCA
rnacentral:lncRNA from 1 species